ensembl:lncRNA
UAGCAACUCACAAUUGUCUGUAACACCAAUUCUAGGGGAUCCAACACCCUCACACAGACACAUGUCCAGGCAAAACAUGAAUGCACAUAAAAUAAAAACAAAAUAAUAUUUUUUAAUUAUUUUUUUGAAGUUGCCAUAGACUAAAUUUAAAAAGCAGCACACUAAUUCCUUGGUAGAGGCAAGGCAGCAUAAUAUUGAAUCAUGAGUUAGUAUCAUGGUUAUUACUAAUGACCCUUAUGCAGAUUUAUAAUGAGAAAAAGCACAUGGGGCAGAAAGAAAUACAAUGUGUACAGUCUGAAGAGGGGAAAAAAAGGACCAGAAAUUUAAUGUGACAGUGAAGGUUAGUGCUGAGAGAUAAGGAAUCUCUUGCUUGGUACAGGAAUAAAGGGAAGGAUGUGUGUCUCCAGCACAACAUCCUACUCCCCUAAGCAUCUAACUUGUGAAGAAGAACAUACAACCACUCACAGGCUUCUGCUAAUGUGGUUCAGGAGGGCAAGGGCCUUCCUUAGCUGAUGGCCAAACUAAGCAGUGUCAUCCACGUAGGGCUGGCUUUAGAGCCGAAAGGAUACAGGAGUGAGGAAGCCUGGAUUCUUCCUCCAUAGUUUCAAAGAACCACUGAGGCCAGGCCACAUGAAUCAGGUGAGUCCUGCAUAAAGGCCCUGAAAGGGCUGGUGUCCCUGAAGGCCCAUUGUAUGAAGCUAGAAAAGUCAAGCUUACAUUUUGGUAGAGACCUCAGAAUAUUGCAGAAGCCGGAGCCAAGAGGUAUCUGCCAAGGAGAGCUCUAUAUGUGGAAUAGAACAAACUCCAGAGAUGAGUGCAUGUUGUAGGCAGAAAAGCUGGCAGGGCAGAGUCAUCUAAGCCCUUUCCCCUGUGUAUGGAGCACAGGAUUCAGUUUGCCCUACUAGAUUUUGGUCCAUUAUUUCCUUCCAUGCCCCCACUCUUCUCUUUGGGGAUGGUAAUGAAUAUUCUGAACCAUUAUAAAUUAAAAAUAUAGAAUUUGUUUUUUGAUUUUACAGGGGGUUACAGUUAAGAGAUUGCCUUGAGUCUCAGACAAGACUUCAGAAUCUUAAACAGAUUCUCCACAGUCUUGAAGGACUAUGGAGACUUUGGAAGUUGUAUUAAAUGUAUUUUGGAUUGAUACAGUCACGUGAGAGGAGCAGAGGAAGUCCUGAGUGUGUGGCUUCCCUUAAUGUGAGUUAUUAAUACAGGUAUGGCCACAUCAAGGACUUCAUUGCCUCAGACUCAGAAAGAUAGAAAACCUUUUUCAGAGGAUCAAGUUCAAUAGUAUAUAAAGAAAAUGCCUACCACAGCUUUCUGCUCCUGGAUAUUUAUGGUCUAAAGACUGCUUCCCUAAAGGGAUGUCUCCUACCAGAAUUGGCUAAAACUGUUUCCUUGAUUCAGCCUUAUUCUACAAACCUUACCUCCUUGUUCAAUUCUAUAUAAUAAAUAGACUGAGUUUCUGGGGUACUACAGUUUUUCCAGCCAAGAGCUGAAGACCACCUGAUCCCACCUCUCUGUGCCUAUCUUCCAAACGCUCUAGGCUGGUUUAACAUAGGUGAAGCUAAGCUGUGAUGUUAGGUAGGUAUAGGGAAUGCAUACUCUACCUAUGAUGUCACCCAGUUUUGACUUUAUUGUGUGGUCAUAUCCUAACAUGCCCCUCAAAACUAGAGUUAUUUCUUCUUCCUUUUGAAUCAGAGGCCCUGUGUGAUUUCAUCGGCUUAUAGCCUAUAGUUCCAAACGUCUCUCAGGCUGGAGCAUCAACAUCUAGUGUCAGGAGUGGGGCACAGGAGGUGGGACGGAGUAUGAGAACAGCCCAUUUGGUCACACACUACAGCCAAGCCACUAACACCACUCCACCAGCAGUAGAAGCCAACAUUCCCAUCUUAGUGGAUUUCUGUAUCUAUGUCCUGGCUUGAUUCUGAACUUGGGUGGAAAUGGGGCACUCUAUAUCUUAUAUUCUCCAAAGCCUCAAUUCUGUGUGCCACUUACCAAGAGAGGGAAGUGAUCCUGUGAACCCCAGACUCUAGCAAGAACGGAGAAAGAGCUCUGGGCCUUGCUGAGGCCCACUGACCUGGAACAAUGUAGCUAUUAAUAGACACUAAGUUAUGUGUAUUUAUAAAACACCAUUUGUUGCAGUUAAUAACAGUGUAAGGAACUAGGGCUUAUGAGUUAUGCAGAGCAGAGUUUGAGGGUUGACAUGCCCUUUUUGUGAAAAUUCUUUUGACAAAUUAAUUUCUUUGAAGUUUAGUUAUCUGACCUCUAGAAUGGGAAUAAUAUUAUGGGUUUUAGAUACUCGCUGCCAGGAAUAAAUAUGGAACUGUAUUACACAUACUCAGUGGUAUAAUCAUUUCUGAUAAACCACCUCUUAAUUUUUAUUAUUGUCACAGUUUAAGUACUUUCCCUUAGAUAAGACAGAAAAGGAAAAGGACAAGAGGGCCCAAGCUUGAUCUCUUGUCUUGCCCAAAGUACAAGUAGGGAGAACUGCUCUGCUUGAUGUAGUGUAGCAGUUUCCUCCUCCUUAAGCAGUAAGGUAGACAACACAGAAUAGCUUCAGGAAAUCCCUGAAACUGACUACAUUCACUAGGCUCCUCCCUCCCAUAGUAAACAAUAAAAGCUGAGAGUCCUUCUCAGACAAGCCAAGCUGCAAAGACGACUCUGAGUCCAGCUUGGCUUCACCUAUAUUAAACAACCCCAGAGCUCUUGCUGCAAUCUAUAAUUUGCCAGAGUCAUCUAAUACAAAACCCAUUUUGGCAUAAUGUUUUGUGUUAUUAUUGAAUGCUUGUAGCCAAAAAUAACUGGCGAUAUAGUACACCAUGGGAUAUCAUGAUCAGGAAUCUGUCUGGGAGCUGUGGUAGGCGGCCAUAGCCUGGUAUCUUGAGAGAGUAUUGUAUAGUAUGCCACUGACUGCAAGAAAGGUCAAAAUUCAAAGUUAAAAGUGCAGUUUAAGCCGAAUGCACAUUGUUUUUGCACCAUAUUAAAGUAGGAAAUUAACAAGUUCAACUAUGUUAACUCGGAGACACCUGCAGUUCUAUGGAAUUGUGAGAAAUGGCCUUAGCCUGUUCUCCACCUGGUAUCGAAUGUUGGGUAACACUUGUCCUACCUCAGAAGGAAUAAUUAAUUAUCAGCAGCUGGGCUUGGGGGCGGGGCACUGCACAGGCAGGCAGUGGGGACCUCAAGACAGUUGUCCUAAGACAGAAGCAUGGUUUGUGUUUGCCAGAGCCGGGUAUGGAAAGAUGUUGAGACACAGAGCUGCAUUCGAAGCUCUUGAAAUGCUCUGAGACUCGGAGGACAAGGAGCGCUGCUUUCGUGGAAUACCAUCUGAUGGAAAUUAGAGACAUGAGGGAAAUGGGAUCCUACCUCGUAAAAAAUUCUUUGCACUCCUGAGAAUAUGACUCAGGCAGAAAUUUGAACCAAGAGGGGGUUGGUGAUCUACUUGGAGAAAAGGGAACUUUCUAUAAAUGGACUGAAUAGAAGGCCAGACAUUUACCUACUGAGCCGUAGAAAGUGCUUCCUUCUGCUUGCAGGAUGCACCGAGACUGCAGGGUGCUGAUUUUUGCUUCAAUAAAUGCACCUCUGUAGAAGGGCAAUGGGGGUAUUAUUUUUUGGAAGAAAAUUGUGAUGAGGUAAUAUUCUUGGGUUUUUACUGUGCGUUCCCUACUUCAGAUCCACGUCGUCAUUUUCUAGAAAACCAUUCUGGCUAUUUCUACCACAUUUGGUGAGCAGCAUGUGUGCCCUUGGGAUUGAGCAAUUCAAUCAAAAGGCUUUUGGAUUUCAAAUGCUUUGUGGUUUUGUGUGAUAUAGGCCAGGGUGUGAGAGAGGUGAUUUACAGACAGGCGGGGAGGGGGCUUGAGGAAGUGCUGUAGAGGCCACAGGGAACUCAAGAUAGUCCUAAGAAGCAUGGCAGCAUCCGGAAACACUUGUGUCGUUUCAUUGUCAGAGCCCAGGUACACCGGGAAGAAACUGAGGCAUGGUACUGCGCUGUGAGCCUAGGCUGUAAGAAGUCUGUGAGCUGGGUCCUGUGUACCCUUUCCCAGGAACUUCUUCCGUGUAAGGAGUAGAGGAAGCGAAGUGGGCGGGUCCAUGUGGAAGACUCCGAGGUCUCUGACCUAUGGGAAAUUGGCAGAAACUGUUUGUAACAAUAUGGGCCAGGCUGAAGAAAGGUAGCAAAGCUCUCCUUGAGAGUCCAGUAUGAGUGUUUGUGAACUUCCCUGAUCACUGGGAGCCGAGACUAGCAACUGUAUCUUUCUCCUCCUGGAUGUUUACAGCCUGAGACUGUCAGCCUACAGAGGCCUCCUCCUACUGAGACUAAUUAACCCCUUCCCCUGUGCUGUAAUAAACACGCUGAGAUUCUGGGCCGACAGGAGUAGCAGCAGAACCCCACCUGAUCCCAGUCUCACUGUGCAUUGUAUGUGUGCCUCUGUAUCUGUCUUUUCUACGUUCCCUCCCCUGCCACCCCUAACCAGGGGAUGGGGACCCAAGCCCAGCAGGUCACAGCACAGAAGAAACACUCAAGAUGUCUAAGAGCAGCCUGGACAGACUGGGAACCUCUCUGGGAGCCCAGGAACAGUGCAGACACUGCAAAAGGAUCACACUAACCCACGGUGAGGUUCAGCAGGAGGAACGACAUCUGCCUAGAAGCCUGCAAGGACGUCUGAUGAACCCAACAUGGAGUCUCAUACACAUUUUACUGAAGUCCAAGCAUUGGAACAUGUGGAGCGGAUUUCGAGAUCAAAAUGAUUUUAUGGAUCUGAAUCACUUAUUAAUUUGAUGCAGCUGAAUAGAGGAUGGGACAUUUUUCUUAGCAUCUAAAGGGACACAGAGAAGGCCCCACACAGAUGGAUAAGGGCUUAAUGCCUUAAAUAUUAAAAGGCAUACCAUACAGGCUUAUGUCACCCCAAAGCUGGAGCUACUCUACUGAUAACAGGCAGGUUUCUGUCCCGUUUUCUUUAGGUAUCUUUGAAGCUGGAGGAAGCACAGGCUCGGUGCAGGCUGGAGCGAUGUUAGAUGCUCAUAACCAUCCGUGCAAACAGCCCGCAGCUCGAAGACGGAGGUCACAGAUGCUACCAAGUGCCUUCCAGUCUCCACUCCCCAACUCUUGUCACCCAAAUACAGAAUACAGUAUCAAGUUGGACAGGGUGGUACAAGUUUGUAAUUCAGCCUUUAAGGGGGAUGAGGUAGGGAGAUCGCAAGUUCAAGACCGGUCAGGGCAACUUAGCAAGAUCAUAUCAAGAGAGAGGGAGAGUGCGUGUGAAUGUGUGGGUGUUGUUGGUAUCAGGAAUUGCCUUGAGCAGUGACACCAUUUGGUCACUGCUGCCAUGGCAACGGCCAUACAUUCCCAGAAGACCUUUAGGCUCAAUUUGCAACCCCACCUGGGAGCAGUUCCGUCAUAUUCCAAAUAAAAGGCAGAUUUCUGCUCUCUUCCUCUUUUCUUUUCUUUCUCUCCCCCCUUGUCUUCUUCUCCCAUUAAAUCUCUCCACAUGGAACCAUGUUGGUGUUGGUUUGGUGUGCUUUAUCCACACAGGAGCGGGCCAGUGUGUGUGUGUGUGUGUGUGUGUGUGUGUGUGUGUGUGUGUGUGUGUGUGUGUGUGUGUGUGUUUAGCUCAGUGAUAGAGCUUGCCCAGCACGUACAAAGCCCUUAGUGCAAUCCCUGGUACCACAAAAAGAAAAAUUAUGCCUAAUCAGUUAGUUCUGAAGUCAGUUGAUUCUGCCCAAGCCUCACACACGCCUUAGCACACGCAUCUUAGCGCAAUGCACACGAGGAAAGAAAUCUUGCAAAGAUAAAUGAAAAAAAAACUUGCAAAAAAUAAAUUAAAAAUAAACACUUCACUUGUAAUAUUAUUAUAAUGUGUCAAAUCUUAAUCAUCCGGGAGACAACUUAUUAAAGAGGUGGGUUCUGGUGAUUCUUACUGCAGAUAAAUUGACCUUAAAAAUUAAGCUGAACUGGAAAUGACAAUGCCCAGUGUUAACUCUCUAACUGUGACCUAAAUCGCACGCUUCACAAACGACAAAAAAAAAAAAAAAAAGUGUGUUUAAGAUCAUUCUGAAAAUCAUAA